UAGUCCACGCCGUAAACGAUGUCAACUAGCCGUUGGAAGACUUGAUCUUUUAGUGGCGCAGCUAACGCAAUAAGUUGACCGCCUGGGGAGUACGGCCGCAAGGUUAAAACUCAAAUGAAUUGACGGGGGCCCGCACAAGCGGUGGAGCAUGUGGUUUAAUUCGAUGCAACGCGAAGAACCUUACCAGGUCUUGACAUCCUGCGAAUUUUCUAGAAAUAGAUUAGUGCCUUCGGGAACGCAGUGACAGGUGCUGCAUGGCUGUCGUCAGCUCGUGUCGUGAGAUGUUGGGUUAAGUCCCGCAACGAGCGCAACCCUUGUCUUUAGUCGCCAUCAUUAAGUUGGGCACUUUAAAGAGACUGCCGGUGACAAACCGGAGGAAGGUAAGGAUGACGUCAAGUCAGCAUGCCCCUUAUGCUCUGGGCUACACACGUGCUACAAUGGCCGUGACAAGAGUUGCUACUUUGUGAAACAAGCUAAUCUCAUAAACGCGGCCUCAGUUCGGAUUG
rnacentral:rRNA from 1 species